rnacentral:rRNA from 1 species
AUGGAUAUUGAAUUCCAUUUGCUUGAAACUAUUACAAACAAAUUUGCAGAUAAGGUUGGCAGUGGUGGGUAUGGUGAAGUUUACAAGGGGUUGUAUAAUGGAAAGGAGAUUGCGGUGAAGAGGCUUCAUCCCUUGCAAGGACUUGAUGAUAAGGCAUUUGACAGUGAAUUCCGUAACCUUAGUAAGGUCAAACAUAAAAAUGUUGUUCAGUUACUAGGCUACUGCUACCAAAUAGUUAAAAAGUUCGUUCCAUACAAUGGAGAACUAGUUAUGGCUAUGGAAAUGGAGAGAAUUCUCUGUUUCGAAUAUAUGGAGGGUGGAAGCCUCGAUAAACAUAUUGGAGAUGAAUCUUGUGGACUUGACUGGCAAUCAUGUUACCAAAUUAUCAAAGGGACCUGCGACGGUUUAAAUCACCUCCAUGGAGCACAUGAAAAGCCUAUUUUCCAUCUGGACUUAAAACCAUCCAACAUAUUGCUGGAUAAGAACAGCAGGACGGCCAAAAUUGCAGAUCUUGGUUUGUCCAGACUUGUUGCUUCAACUGAAACCCAUAAAACACAGAUGGCCAACGUCAAAGGAACAAUCGGGUACAUGCCACCAGAAUACAUAGACGGUGGUUACAUAUCAAAGAAAUAUGACGUUUUUAGUCUGGGAGUUAUAAUUCUGAAAAUAAUGACAGGAAACAAGGGCCACUCCCGUUGUUAUGAAAUGCCUCAGGAACAGUUCACUAAGCAUGUAAUAGAGAACUGGGAGGCAAGGCUGCAGGGAACAUCGGGGUAUUCAUCACACCAAAACGACAUCCUACAAGUGAAGAAAUGUAUUGAAAUAGCAGUAGAAUGUGUGGAGAAAGCCCGAUAUAAAAGGCCCCUCAUAAAGGAUAUUGUCCAUCAACUGGAGGAGCUAGAAGCUAAGAUUAAGGAAAUGUCACUAUAUUCUGAUAUGCCAAUAGAUCUUACUGGUCAGACAAGUUCUAACUACAACAUUCUUGCGGUGGAUCCGGCAAUAGAGCUGCGCUUCCUAUUCGAGCCAAGGAAGGACAUAUCGACGUGUAUGCAGCUAACCAACCAGACGGAUGGCUCCGUAGCGUUUCGUGUCAUAACCAACCAAGCCAAGUACUCCGUACAACCAACCAAAGGAAUCAUGGCACCAUGUUCCAAGCGCUACAUCUAUGUGACCUUGCGCGCACAGGAUGCGGCACCGCUGAAUAUGCAGUGCAACGACAUGUUCGUUGUGCAGAGCACUCGUGUUAAUGACGGCCGCACGUCCGAUGGGAUCGCUGAUGACGAAGUCAUGGCAGGAACGGCGGUGGGUAUGGUGAGGCUGCCGAUUGUUUAUGUUGGGUGUGACCAAGUUCUAGGCUGA